CGGACGGGUGAGUAACGCGUGAGAAUCUGCCCUCAGGAGGGGGAUAACAGUUGGAAACGACUGCUAAUACCCCAUAUGCCGAGAGGUGAAACGAAUUUCGCCUGGGGAUGAGCUCGCGUCUGAUUAGCUUGUUGGUGGGGUAAAGGCCUACCAAGGCUUCGAUCAGUAGCUGGUCUGAGAGGACGAUCAGCCACACUGGGACUGAGACACGGCCCAGACUCCUACAGGAGGCAGCAGUGGGGAAUUUUCCGCAAUGGGCGCAAGCCUGACGGAGCAACGCCGCGUGAGGGAUGAAGGCCUUUGGGCUGUAAACCUCUUUUCUCAAGGAAGAACAUCUGACGGUACUUGAGGAAUAAGCCACGGCUAAUUCCGUGCCAGCAGCCGCGGUAAUACGGGAGUGGCAAGCGUUAUCCGGAAUUAUUGGGCGUAAAGCGUCCGCAGGCGGCCGUUUAAGUCUGUUGUUAAAUCGUGGAGCUCAACUCCAUCACGGCAAUGGAAACUGUUCGGCUUGAGUAUGGUAGGGGCAGAGGGAAUUUCCGGUGUAGCGGUGAAAUGCGUAGAUAUCGGGAAGAACACCAGUGGCAAAAGCGCUCUGCUGGGCCAUUACUGACGCUCAUGGACGAAAGCCAGGGGAGCGAAUGGGAUUAGAUACCCCAGUAGUC
rnacentral:rRNA from 1 species